rfam:Gymnopus luxurians FD-317 M1 unplaced genomic scaffold GYMLTscaffold_3, whole genome shotgun sequence.
GCCUUCUUAGCUCAGUGGUAGAGCGUUGCACUUGUAUUAUCGGCCGUACAAUGCAAAGGUCAGUCGUUCAAUCCGGCUAGGAGGCA